GCUAGAUAAUCCAAAUGUAUUUUAUUACAUUUAAUAAGCACUUAAAAUCCAAGUUGUAGCUACAGUUGAAUGAUUGCUUUUGCUUUUAAAUGUAAAAUAAAAGGUAAUUUUAUAUUUAGCUUACAUUACAUUUUGUUUGGUUACAUUGUUAAUAUGACAAAAAAUUUAUCAUUAGCAAGCGGUUUGGUGUAAUAAUCCUAAAAUUUCAUAAUUUUGAGAGUAAAGGGCACAAACAAAAGUUCACAUAUAGUUUAUAUU
rnacentral:lncRNA from 1 species